rnacentral:lncRNA from 1 species
GUGACAAGACCUGUUCCUAUAGGAAACGGAGGCAUUAGGAAUCCAUAUUAGAGGUCUUAGUUGAAUAGUAGAUCAGCACACCCAUGAAGUGUGCCGUGAGAAUGAACAGUAACAACCGUAGGUAAGUAGUUACUACUAUAUGUCUAGACUUAGGAUCUUAAGAGUUUUAUUGGUAUAUCUUCAUUAAAAUUUCCAUCUCUCAAAGUAAAUUGAGAUACCAAACUGUUCUAAAUGGAGCAGGAUCAACGAGCACAUUCCUAGGGCAGCCUCAAUUUUGGGCUUCCAUAAUCAUGAUC